rnacentral:rRNA from 1 species
UCUGGAAACUNUCUGACUUGAGUGCAGAAGGGGAGAGUGGAAUUCCAUGUGUAGCGGUGAAAUGCGUAGAUAUAUGGAGGAACACCAGUGGCGAAAGCGGCUNUCUGGUCUGUCACUGACGCUGAGGCUCGAAAGCGUGGGUAGCGAACAGGAUUAGAUACCCUGGUAGUCCACGCCGUAAACGAUGAGUGCUAGGUGUUAGGCCCUUUCCGGGGCUUAGUGCCGGAGCUAACGCAAUAAGCACUCCGCCUGGGGAGUACGACCGCAAGGUUGAAACUCAAAGGAAUUGACGGGGGCCCGCACAAGCGGUGGAGCAUGUGGUUUAAUUCGAAGCAACGCGAAGAACCUUACCAGGUCUUGACAUCCCGAUGCUAUUCUUAGAGAUAGGAAGUUACUUCGGUACAUCGGAGACAGGUGGUGCAUGGUUGUCGUCAGCUCGUGUCGUGAGAUGUUGGGUUAAGUCCCGCAACGAGCGCAACCCUUAUUGUUAGUUGCCAUCAUUAAGUUGGGCACUCUAGCGAGACUGCCGGUAAUAAACCGGAGGAAGGUGGGGAUGACGUCAAAUCAUCAUGCCCCUUAUGACCUGGGCUACACACGUGCUACAAUGGUCGGUACAACGAGUUGCGAGCCGGUGACGGCAAGCUAAUCUCUGAAAGCCGAUCUCAGUUCGGAUUGGAGGCUGCAACUCGCCUCCAUGAAGUCGGAAUCGCUAGUAAUCGCGGAUCAGCACGCCGCGGUGAAUACGUUCCCGGGCCUUGUACACACCGCCCGUCACACCACGAGAGUUUGUAACACCCGAAGUCGGUGAGGUANCCUUUUAGGGG